rnacentral:rRNA from 1 species
AAACCAACCGGGAUUGCCUUGGUAACGGCGAGUGAAGCGGCAAAAAGCUCAAAUUUGAAAUCUGGUACCUUCGGUGCCCGAGUUGUAAUUUGGAGAGGGCAACUUUGGGGCCGUUCCUUGUCUAUGUUCCUUGGAACAGGACGUCAUAGAGGGUGAGAAUCCCGUGUGGCGAGGAGUGCGGUUCUUUGUAAAGUGCCUUCGAAGAGUCGAGUUGUUUGGGAAUGCAGCUCUAAGUGGGUGGUAAAUUCCAUCUAAAGCUAAAUAUUGGCGAGAGACCGAUAGCGAACAAGUACAGUGAUGGAAAGAUGAAAAGAACUUUGAAAAGAGAGUGAAAAAGUACGUGAAAUUGUUGAAAGGGAAGGGCAUUUGAUCAGACAUGGUGUUUUGUGCCCUCUGCUCCUUGUGGGUAGGGAAAUCUCGCAUUUCACUGGGCCAGCAUCAGUUUUGGUGGCAGGAUAAAUCCAUAGGAAUGUAGCUUGCCUCGGUAAGUAUUAUAGCCUGUGGGAAUACUGCC